GUGGUCCCACCUGACCCCAUGCCGAACUCAGAAGUGAAACGCCGUAGCGCCGAUGGUAGUGUGGGGUCUCCCCAUGCGAGAGUAGGACACUGCCAAGC
rnacentral:rRNA from 3 species